CUAGCACGUUUGUAUUCUUGAGAAAGUGGACAUUUGUGUUGUUGGGUCUGUGAUUUUCCAUCUGGCUUUGACUUUGGUCUGCUGACUUCUUUGACUCCACCCUUGACUGGAAGGACUGCCUCAUGGGACCUGCAGAUCAGAAUUAUGCUAACUAGGCUGCUGAGUGCCAGUUUGCCUGCCUGUGACGCCUCACUGUAAGAAUCCUGCCAGGCAAAUUGUCCACACCCGGAUCCCAUUCAGUCCUUUGAGAACAUGAAGAUAAAACCAAAACCACCUUGGAUUCCAUGAAAUAGCUUUCACAACCUCAGAAUCCCAUUUAUCCAUCCAUUUCAUUAAACAACUCACUGAGACACGACACAGCGUGGUACCGUGGGGUUGCUGUGGACUAGAGGCGGUGCCCGGUGGAAGCACUGAGCAUGCCUGAAAGAAGUAAUGGUGCCUGGUGGAUGGACAGGAUUCACGUGCACAUGAAGACAUGGGCAGAAGGAAGAACCGUCUGUGAGUGGGAUGCCUGGGACUCCAUGUCACCUUCCAUUGCUCCCUGUCUACAUGUCUUUGCCUGAGGUUUUCUCUGAAGCUGUGGAAGCCUGCAGCUCCGAGAAUUCAUACCCAAGGAGGAUCUCACAAACAAUGACUGAAGGGAAUUUGUUUUUUUUUUUUUUUUUUCCUCCAAUUUUAUUUUAUUUUUAAACUUUACAUAAUUGUAUUAGUUUUGCCAAAUAUCAAAAUGAAUCCACCACAGGUAUACAUGUGUUCCCCAUCCUGAACCCUCCUCCCUCCUCCCUCCCCAUACCAUCCCUCUGGGCCGUCCCAGUGCACCAGCCCCAAGCAUCCAGCAUCAUGCAUCGAACCUGGACUGGCAACUCGUUUCCCACAUGAUACUUUACAUGUUUCAUUGCCAUUCUCCCAAAUCUUCCCACCCUCUCCCUCUCCCACAGAGUCCAUAAGACCGUUCUAUACAUCAGUGUCUCUUUUGCUGUCUCGUACACCGGGUUAUUGUUACCAUCUUUCUAAAUUCCAUAUAUAUGCGUUAGUAUACUGUAUUUAUGUUUUUCCUUCUGGCUUACUUCACUCUGUAUAAUAGGCUCCAGUUUCAUCCACCUCAUUAGAACUGAUUCAAAUGUAUUCUUUUGAAUGGCUGAGUAAUACUCCAUUGUGUAUAUGUACCACAGCUUUCUUAUCCAUUCAUCUGCUGAUGGACAUCUAGGUUGCUUCCAUGUCUUGGCUAUUAUAAACAGUGCUGCGAUGAACAUUGGGGUACACGUGUCUCUUUCCUGAAGGGAAUUUGUAAAUAAAUACCUCAGCUCCCUCA
rnacentral:lncRNA from 1 species